rnacentral:rRNA from 1 species
GCUUGCACCUUAUCUUAGCGGCGGACGGGUGAGUAAUGCUUAGGAAUCUGCCUAUUAGUGGGGGACAACAUUCCGAAAGGAAUGCUAAUACCGCAUACGUCCUACGGGAGAAAGCAGGGGAUCUUCGGACCUUGCGCUAAUAGAUGAGCCUAAGUCGGAUUAGCUAGUUGGUGGGGUAAAGGCCUACCAAGGCGACGAUCUGUAGCGGGUCUGAGAGGAUGAUCCGCCACACUGGGACUGAGACACGGCCCAGACUCCUACGGGAGGCAGCAGUGGGGAAUAUUGGACAAUGGGGGGAACCCUGAUCCAGCCAUGCCGCGUGUGUGAAGAAGGCCUUAUGGUUGUAAAGCACUUUAAGCGAGGAGGAGGCUACUGAGACUAAUACUCUUGGAUAGUGGACGUUACUCGCAGAAUAAGCACCGGCUAACUCUGUGCCAGCAGCCGCGGUAAUACAGAGGGUGCGAGCGUUAAUCGGAUUUACUGGGCGUAAAGCGUGCGUAGGCGGCUUUUUAAGUCGGAUGUGAAAUCCCCGAGCUUAACUUGGGAAUUGCAUUCGAUACUGGGAAGCUAGAGUAUGGGAGAGGAUGGUAGAAUUCCAGGUGUAGCGGUGAAAUGCGUAGAGAUCUGGAGGAAUACCGAUGGCGAAGGCAGNCNUCUGGCCUAAUACUGACGCUGAGGUACGAAAGCAUGGGGAGCAAACAGGAUUAGAUACCCUGGUAG